GAUGUCUUCAAAAGGUCUCUUAAAGUCGCACAAGUGUUCGGCCUCUACGUGUAUCCACACAAAGCCUUAAUCUGAUCAAAAGUCUUUUGAUCUCACCAGAGUGCUAGCUCUCUUACAGAGAUCAUAUCUUGAUGGUUGAUGAUUUUUCUUCUUUUCUCUCAAGACACUCUUAGAGAAGAAGAAGAAUAUGAGGAUUGAGAUCUUUACACUAAAUAUCAUGAGAAAAAUACUUUUUUCACUUUCUUCCAUAUAUGAGAGAGAACCUUUAUCUCUUUUUCUAAAUUCUAGAUUCAAGAGGAAACUCUUCCUUCUUUCUUCUCUUUUUCACACC
rnacentral:lncRNA from 1 species